rnacentral:rRNA from 1 species
UUUUGCCUACGGGAGGCAGCAGUGAGGAAUAUUGGUCAAUGGGCGGGAGCCUGAACCAGCCAAGCCGCGUGAGGGAAGAAGGUACAGCGUAUCGUAAACCUCUUUUGUCAGGGAACAAAGGCGGGGACUAGUCCCAGGAUGAGAGUACCUGAAGAAAAAGCAUCGGCUAACUACGUGCCAGCAGCCGCGGUAAUACGUAGGGGGCAAGCGUUAUCCGGAUUUAUUGGGUGUAAAGGGAGCGUAGACGGCAAGACAAGUCAGAUGUGAAAUUCACGGGCUCAACCU